GCGCGAGAUAGGAAACCCUAGUCUUUAGGGAUGUCUGAAGGUGAAGGGGCCGGGUCAGCAGAUAAUGGGCCUUGCAGUUGUUUGAUUUGUUAUUUUAGUCAAGUCUGUUUAGUGUAGUGGGCCACGUCUAGGUUAUUAGCUGUUAUGGGUCAUGCAUGUUUAUUAUGGUUAGUUAUUAAAGUUGAGUCCUAUA